GUGGGGAAUCUUGCGCAAUGGGCGAAAGCCUGACGCAGCCAUGCCGCGUGAAUGAUGAAGGUCUUAGGAUUGUAAAAUUCUUUCACCGGGGACGAUAAUGACGGUACCCGGAGAAGAAGCUCCGGCUAACUUCGUGCCAGCAGCCGCGGUAAUACGAAGGGGGCUAGCGUUGCUCGGAAUUACUGGGCGUAAAGGGCGCGUAGGCGGACAGUUUAGUCAGAGGUGAAAGUCCAGGGCUCAACCUUGGAAUUGCCUUUGAUACUGGCUGUCUUGAGUACGGGAGAGGUGAGUGGAACUCCGAGUGUAGAGGUGAAAUUCGUAGAUAUUCGGAAGAACACCAGUGGCGAAGGCGACUCACUGGCCCGUUACUGACGCUGAGGCGCGAAAGCGUGGGGAGCAAACAGGAUUAGAAACCCGUGUAGUCC
rnacentral:rRNA from 1 species